AGAAACAAGCAGAGGGCUGGAGAGGCGGCUCUCGGGGAAACCAGGGCGGGGAGCACCAGGGAGCCCCGGUCACCCGGAACUGCACACCCGGAGUCACUGAGCUGAAAUGAGCCCGCGGCCGGAUGUACUCAAAUACAGAAGAGAGGAGAUGGUCUGGAAGAAGCUACAGAGAAAAGGCUUCACUCCAAAAAAGGACAAAAGGAAAAUAGCAGGAGCAAGAAGCCCUUUCCAUGAUGUGCUCAAGAGAAAGGAAAGAAUUAUGACAAUAGCUACCAUUUAAGCAACACCCUUGUUCCCGGCACAGCAUCACAGAGUUUUACAGAUGUUAUUUUAUUUAGUCUUGGCAACAACUCUAUGACGUACCUUUUAUUGUUAUCCCAGUUUACCCCUGAUAAAACUGAUUAGAGUGUUGAAACCAUACCUGAGGUCAUACAGGUAGUUAUCAGUGGACCAAAGAGUCAAACCUUUGUAUGCCAGAGUCCAGAGUAUAUUUUUAACCCCUACUCUGCAGGUAAGCAAAGGCAGUCAAGAAAAGGAACCAAGCUCUACCACUUGCUAACUGAGUGGUCUUGGGCAAGUUUUCUAAUCUUUUCCUAACUCAGUUCCUUCAUCUGAAAUCAGAUAAUAAUAUCUACCUCUGGGUUGUGGGGAAGAAUAAACAAUGUGAUAUGCAGAAAGCUUCU